AUUGAACGCUGGCGGCAUGCUUUACACAUGCAAGUCGAACGGCAGCGCGGGCUUCGGCCUGGCGGCGAGUGGCGAACGGGUGAGUAAUGCAUCGGAACGUGCCCAGCAGUGGGGGAUAGCCCGGCGAAAGCCGGAUUAAUACCGCAUACGACCUGAGGUUGAAAGCGGGGGACCGAAAGGCCUCGCGCUAUUUGAGCGGCCGAUGUCGGAUUAGCUAGUUGGUUGGGUAAAGGCUUACCAAGGCGACGAUCCGUAGCUGGUCUGAGAGGACGACCAGCCACACUGGGACUGAGACACGGCCCAGACUCCUACGGGAGGCAGCAGUGGGGAAUUUUGGACAAUGGGGGCAACCCUGAUCCAGCCAUGCCGCGUGCGGGAAGAAGGCCUUCGGGUUGUAAACCGCUUUUGUUCGGGAAGAAAUCCUCUGGGCUAAUACCCCGGGGGGAUGACGGUACCGGAAGAAUAAGCACCGGCUAACUACGUG
rnacentral:rRNA from 1 species